GCAAUAAGGACUGUAGUGUGAAUAGCGUGCUGCGCUGCUCUCGCCAACUGAAAAGAACUCUGGUGUGCUGUAAAUGCCGACUGCGCAAUAUGUGACUGGCCCGCGGCUGCUUUGAAGUUUGUGCGCUGUGGAGCUUGAAGCACUUCUCGGAAUUUCAGCACACUCGCAUUUAUUUUUUUCCCGACAGAAGAAAAAUGCAAGUCUAACAUCUCGACGGUAAAACGUCGCAUCUGCGCACAGGGCCAAGAGCACGAGAAGUGGCCGAAAGAAGGGAGCCGAUCCAACAGGAAUGCCGUCCGUCUUUAUAUUUAUAUAUGUCAGCGUUAUCAUGCCGUGAUCACAUGGACUGUACGGUUGCGUUGCACAAGGGCUGAUGCAAACGCUCCGUGCGAACAAUGUUGCAUGGAAAAUUAGUGCAUCUAUACAAUUGCAAAAUAAAGAUCUAAAGAGAGAAAACUUAUAUUCACGUCUUUCUUUUAUUGUGUGUUACGUAUUAACACGUUAACAAGUGCAGACCGUUAGAGGCGUUUAAUUCCGUCUUACAUGUGCACUCUGCCCGUAAUUAAUUCAGAUAGAGUUAAACGCCUCUAUAAACUGCCCGUUCACAUUAAAUACGACACGC